AUCAAAAUCAUAUAUGAACUUUAAUUUAAUGUGCACUUUGAUACACGAACUUUAAUUUUGGUUCAAAUAUAUAUACAAUUUUGAUUUUGAUUCAAUUCUAUACAUUUAAAGAAAUAAAUACAUCAAUUUAUUUUUAUAUUAAAAAAGUAUAAUUCCGUUGUAAGUACCCAAAUUUGCCCGGGCCCAAACUAUUAACCAGCCCAAACAAUUAAAAAACAUAAAAAAAAACCAAAUAAUUAAUAGUCCAUCAUCAAAAUCCAAAUUAUAUAACCUAAAUUAAAAACCCAAAACUAAUAAAACCCUAAGCCCAAAAAGGCCCAAAACCUAAACCAUGUUUGCAGCAAACCCUAACCCUAGCAGCAACUGCGCCACCAGCAGCCUCCGUACGCGCCAGCUACCCCCGCCACGUUGCCUCCGUACCUGUAAAAGAAGACAAGCAACGGACGGACACAGCAGAAAGAGCAAAAACCAAGCAGAAACUUUGUAUUUUUUCUCUUUUGUUGUGGCUAUAAAAAGCCAAGAAAUAUCAAUGUAUCCUCUUCUUUCUUUAUGCACACUGAGAGAAGCAUAUUGAAAAGAAAAAUUCAAAAGCAAUUUAAAAGGUGAUUUCUGUUUUAAGUCUCUGGAUCUUUUGCCUUUUUUAUCUGCUUCCUUCAUUUUUAUGUGCAUUUUUGUUUUUUUUAUUUGCAUUUAAAAACAAAAAAGGGAAGGGGAGUGCUUACCUUCGCAAAUAGGCCAUUGGAAUCUUCAUCUCCUUUGUCGAAAUCAAAGGUCAAGAUGAGAUUUCAAGGGCUGAGAUUGGUAAUCUUUGAACCAAGGUUCUAAGUGUGAUGCGUGCAUGUCGAUAACCACCUAUUACAGUGGUGGCGAUUGAUUUGCUCAAAGUUUUAGGGGUUAGCCGAAUGGGGUAAUGGCUUUGAAAUUUUUUACUCUAUUUUUUUAGAAAAGGGAAGGAAAUUGUGGCUUUGCUUCAUUAGGGUUUCCUUUUUUUUUUCUUUUUAAAGGACAUGAAGUGACAACGUUUUGUGCCAAUAUUAAUGGCUUUGAAAUGGCACCAUUUGGUCCUUGAGGGUUAAUUGUAUGGCAAGUCCCUCCCCUUUGCGCUGGUUUCUAAUUAACUUUUAUUUCUAUUUUAUUUGUUUUAAAUUUUUCCUAAAAUUUGUGUGUUGUUGCGAUUUAGACCGCGCUUGAGCACAAUGUUUUAAGAUCUGGAAUAUUUCCAGAUUUGGUCCUCAUGCAUUUGCAUGCGUGGCGCAUUAGUCCUCAAUUUAAUUUCAAGAAUUUAUAAAAUUUCCC
rnacentral:lncRNA from 1 species